rnacentral:rRNA from 1 species
AACGUAGGACACAAGCGUUAUCCGGAGUUACUGGGCGUAAAGGGCGCGUAGGCGGCCUUCUAAGUCGAACGUGAAAUCCCCGGGCUCAACCCGGGAACUGCGUCCGGUACUGGGAGGCUUGAAUCCGGGAGAGGGAUGUGGAAUUCCAGGUGUAGCGGUGAAAUGCGUAGAUAUCUGGAGGAACACCGGUGGCGAAGGCGGCAUCCUGGACCGGUAUUGACGCUGAGGCGCGAAAGCCAGGGGAGCAAACGGG